UGCGUUUUGGAUAACUGCGUUUUGAGCCAAGGAGAAGAUGAGGGAUUUGGGUAUAGGGUUGUGAUCGAUACUUAGUUUUUGGGACGUGUUAGUGCAAUAAUGUUUGUGAGAAGUGGUUCUUCUAUUUACACUGCUGGUGCUGAAGGGAUGAUUUGUGAAAUCGAUUCACUGACAGCAGCAAAGGUUUCUGUUAAGUCUGGAGUUUGUAUAUAUUGAAGUUAGUACAGCAAAUCUUGGUAUUAUU